GCCUUGUUAGCUUGGUUAAUAGCGCGUCUGCCUAAUAAGCACUAGGCCGCGGGUUCGAUUCCCGCCUAGGGCG
rfam:Asian citrus Psyllid, Diaphorina citri - Florida Strain, whole genome shotgun sequence.